rnacentral:rRNA from 1 species
AACGUAGCAAUACGUGGCGCACGGCUCAGUAACACGUAGUCAACAUGCCCAGAGGACGUGGAUAACCUCGGGAAACUGAGUCUAAACCGCGAUAAGUGAGGAUUUCUGGAAUGGUUCCUGACUAAAAUCUAUAUGGCCUCUGGAUUGGACUGCGGCCGAUCAGGCUGUUGGUGAGGUAAUGGCCCACCAAACCUGUAACCGGUACGGGCUCUGAGAGGAGGAGCCCGGAGAUGGGCACUGAGACAAGGGCCCAGGCCCUAUGGGGCGCAGCAGGCGCGAAACCUCUGCAAUAGGCGAAAGCCUGACAGGG